GGGAAGUCCUCGUGUUGCACCGCGUUAAGAAAGGGGUGUAAACCGUGGUGAAACUCGUGUUGGUGCGGUAGAAAGGGGGUGUGUGGAAACGAUGGUAAACUAGUCUCCGUCGUUAAGCGACAGAGUAAGUAGUGCAGUGGAGUAUCCGUUAUUAGGCAGUGCUGACAAAGAAGGUAGGGUCGGAUUUAUCGUGGAGCUGGGAGGGGCGAGCAUAAGGGACGAAGUUGGGGAAACAUGUCGGAUGCGAUCAUACCAGCACUGAAAGCACCGGAUCCCAUCAUAACUACGAAGUUAAGCGUGCUUGGGUGAGAGUAGUACUAGGAUAGGUGACCUCUU
rnacentral:rRNA from 1 species